GUUAUAUGGUCAAGUGAAGAAGCGCAUACGGUGGAUGCCUUGGCAGUCAGAGGCGAUGAAAGACGUGGUAGCCUGCGAAAAGCUUCGGGGAGUCGGCAAACAGACUGUGAUCCGGAGAUAUCUGAAUGGGGGAACCCAGCCAUCAUAAGAUGGUUAUCUUGUACUGAAUACAUAGGUGCAAGAGGCGAACCAGGGGAACUGAAACAUCUAAGUACCCUGAGGAAAAGAAAUCAACCGAGAUUCCCUUAGUAGUGGCGAGCGAACGGGGACCAGCCCUUAAGUUGUAUUGAGAUUAGCGGAACGUUCUGGAAAGGACGGCCAUAGUGGGUGAUAGCCCUGUACGCGAAAAUCCCUUUGCAAUGAAAUCGAGUAGGACGGGGCACGAGAAACCUUGUCUGAAUAUGGGGGGACCAUCCUCCAAGGCUAAAUACUACUGACUGACCGAUAGUGAACCAGUACCGUGAGGGAAAGGCGAAAAGAACCGCGGAGAGCGGAGUGAAAUAGAUCCUGAAACCGUAUGCGUACAAGCAGUGGGAGCCCACUUUGUUGGGUGACUGCGUACCUUUUGUAUAAUGGGUCAGCGACUUAUUUUCAGUGGCGAGCUUAACCGAAUAGGGGAGGCGUAGCGAAAGCGAGUCUUAAUAGGGCGUCUAGUCGCUGGGAAUAGACCCGAAACCGGGCGAUCUAUCCAUGGGCAGGUUGAAGGUUGGGUAACACUAACUGGAGGACCGAACCGACUACCGUUGAAAAGUUAGCGGAUGACCUGUGGAUCGGAGUGAAAGGCUAAUCAAGCUCGGAGAUAGCUGGUUCUCCUCGAAAGCUAUUUAGGUAGCGCCUCAUGUAUCACUGUAGGGGGUAGAGCACUGUUUCGGCUAGGGGGUCAUCCCGACUUACCAAACCGAUGCAAACUCCGAAUACCUACAAGUGCCGAGCAUGGGAGACACACGGCGGGUGCUAACGUCCGUCGUGAAAAGGGAAACAACCCAGACCGUCAGCUAAGGUCCCAAAGUCAUGGUUAAGUGGGAAACGAUGUGGGAAGGCUUAGACAGCUAGGAGGUUGGCUUAGAAGCAGCCACCCUUUAAAGAAAGCGUAAUAGCUCACUAGUCGAGUCGGCCUGCGCGGAAGAUGUAACGGGGCUCAAACCAUGCACCGAAGCUACGGGUAUCAUUUUAGGAUGAUGCGGUAGAGGAGCGUUCUGUAAGCCUGUGAAGGUGAGUUGAGAAGCUUGCUGGAGGUAUCAGAAGUGCGAAUGCUGACAUGAGUAACGACAAUGGGUGUGAAAAACACCCACGCCGAAAGACCAAGGUUUCCUGCGCAACGUUAAUCGACGCAGGGUUAGUCGGUCCCUAAGGCGAGGCUGAAAAGCGUAGUCGAUGGAAAACAGGUUAAUAUUCCUGUACUUCUGGUUAUUGCGAUGGAGGGACGGAGAAGGCUAGGCCAGCCUGGCGUUGGUAGUCCAGGUUUAAGGUGGUAGGCUGAGAUCUUAGGUAAAUCCGGGAUCUUAAGGCCGAGAGCUGAUGACGAGUGUUCUUUUAGAACAUGAAGUGGUUGAUGCCAUGCUUCCAAGAAAAGCUUCUAAGCUUCAGGUAACCAGGAACCGUACCCCAAACCGACACAGGUGGUUGGGUAGAGAAUACCAAGGCGCUUGAGAGAACUCGGGUGAAGGAACUAGGCAAAAUGGCACCGUAACUUCGGGAGAAGGUGCGCCGGUGGAGGUGAAGCAUUUACUGCGUAAGCCCCUGCCGGUCGAAGAUACCAGGCCGCUGCGACUGUUUAUUAAAAACACAGCACUCUGCAAACACGAAAGUGGACGUAUAGGGUGUGACGCCUGCCCGGUGCCGGAAGGUUAAUUGAUGGGGUUAGCGCAAGCGAAGCUCUUGAUCGAAGCCCCGGUAAACGGCGGCCGUAACUAUAACGGUCCUAAGGUAGCGAAAUUCCUUGUCGGGUAAGUUCCGACCUGCACGAAUGGCGUAACGAUGGCGGCGCUGUCUCCACCCGAGACUCAGUGAAAUUGAAAUCGCUGUGAAGAUGCAGUGUAUCCGCGGCUAGACGGAAAGACCCCGUGAACCUUUACUAUAGCUUUGCACUGGACUUUGAAUUUGCUUGUGUAGGAUAGGUGGGAGGCUUUGAAGCGUGGACGCCAGUCUGCGUGGAGCCAACCUUGAAAUACCACCCUGGCAACUUUGAGGUUCUAACUCAGGUCCGUUAUCCGGAUCGAGGACAGUGUAUGGUGGGUAGUUUGACUGGGGCGGUCUCCUCCUAAAGAGUAACGGAGGAGUACGAAGGUGCGCUCAGACCGGUCGGAAAUCGGUCGUAGAGUAUAAAGGCAAAAGCGCGCUUGACUGCGAGACAGACACGUCGAGCAGGUACGAAAGUAGGUCUUAGUGAUCCGGUGGUUCUGUAUGGAAGGGCCAUCGCUCAACGGAUAAAAGGUACUCCGGGGAUAACAGGCUGAUACCGCCCAAGAGUUCAUAUCGACGGCGGUGUUUGGCACCUCGAUGUCGGCUCAUCACAUCCUGGGGCUGAAGCCGGUCCCAAGGGUAUGGCUGUUCGCCAUUUAAAGUGGUACGCGAGCUGGGUUUAGAACGUCGUGAGACAGUUCGGUCCCUAUCUGCCGUGGACGUUUGAGAUUUGAGAGGGGCUGCUCCUAGUACGAGAGGACCGGAGUGGACGAACCUCUGGUGUUCCGGUUGUCACGCCAGUGGCAUUGCCGGGUAGCUAUGUUCGGAAAAGAUAACCGCUGAAAGCAUCUAAGCGGGAAACUUGCCUCAAGAUGAGAUCUCACUGGAACCUUGAGUUCCCUAAAGGGCCGUCGAAGACUACGACGUUGAUAGGUUGGGUGUGUAAGCGCUGUGAGGCGUUGAGCUAACCAAUACUAAUUGCCCGUGAGGCUUGACCAUAUAACACCCAAGCAAUU
rnacentral:rRNA from 1 species